rnacentral:rRNA from 1 species
UACAGAGGUCCCAAGCGUUGUUCGGAUUCACUGGGCGUAAAGGGUGCGUAGGUGGUGGGGUAAGUCGGAUGUGAAAUCUCCGAGCUCAACUCGGAAACUGCAUUGGAAACUACCCUGCUAGAGGGUCGGAGGGGGGACUGGAAUACUUGGUGUAGCAGUGAAAUGCGUAGAUAUCAAGUGGAACACCAGUGGCGAAGGCGAGUCCCUGGACGACUCCUGACACUGAGGCACGAAAGCUAGGGGAGCAAACGGG